CGUCGGGCGAAGGAGAGCUCGAGGUCGCCUGCACCGGCGACGGCGUGUGGUUCGUGGAGGCGAUGGCUCACUGCAGUCUCAUUGAUCUCAAGAACCUCGAGUUCCCUCUCGUGAUCCCUAAAGAGGAGCUGCUUCCUAGUCCUCCACCCUGCAUCAACCCGGAGGAGAUGAUAUUGAUGAUGCAGGUCUGUGAUGAACAUUAAUUAUUAUUCAAAAAAAUUAGUUUAUAUUAUCAAAAUAAAAAAUAUUCAUGUUGUUGGUAAGCUAAAAAUUUUGAUAGAGAAAUAAAAAUAUAUUUAUAUUGCUAAGGAUGUUCCAUAUUAUAUAUGGUCUAUGAUUUAACCAUUAGGUUUAUGGAUUCCAUAAAGAAUCUCAUUUGAUAAUUACUUUACUUAAAAUAAUACUAUAGUAUUGAUGUAUGUAUACAAAUCCCAAUAUCAAAAAAGAUUUAUAUAAUCGAUGCUAGCUCGAUUCACAUCUAAAAUAUUAGAAAUAUUGUCAGACGCACUUAGAUUCACAUCUAAAAUAUUAUCCUAAUAGUAAUGUAUCAGACCCACUUAAGGAUUAAAAAUGUCAUCGGAUGUUAACUAUCUUUUGAAAUCCGAUGUAUGCAUCGAUACAAUCACCAUUUAUUUUAAUAAUAAUAAAUAAAUAAAUAAAAGAUUUAUUUGGCUUGUGGUUUGUGAGAACGCAGGUAACGCAGUUCGAGUGCGGUGGAUUUGCAGUGGGAGUCAAGUUCAGCCACAUGGUGUUCGACGGCGUCGGCGCGGGCCAGUUCCUGAAGGCGGUGGGAGAGAUCGCCGGCGGGCUUCCUCGCCCCACCGUCGAGCCGAUAUGGUUCAGAGACGCCAUCCCCGCUCCACCGAGGAUCCCUCGGCAACCUCCCACGAUAACGUUCGACUGCGUGCCGUCCCUGUUCGACUUCCCGCAGCUCACCAUCAACAACAUCAAAGAGGAGUUCAUGAGAGAGACGGCUUACAGGUGCACGACCUUCGAAGCGGUCGCCGCGGUUCUGUGGCAGUGCCGGACCCGAGCGAUCAAUCUGCAUCCCCAAGCCGACGUCCACCUCGUCUUUUCCGCAAACGUUCGUCCGCUCCUGCGCCAGCUGCUGCCGCCACAGCGAGGCUACUACGGCAACUGCGUCUACUGUUUGAAUGUGACAUCGAGUAGCGAUAAGAUCAAGCACGCGCCCCUCACCGAGAUCGUGAGCUUGAUCAGGGACGCCAAAGCAAGUUUGGCGGCCAAGUUCUCGGACUGGGCGAUGGGGAACGUCGAAGAAGACCCCUACAAUGUUCCCAUCGGCUACGACGUGCUGAA
rnacentral:lncRNA from 1 species